GGAUGUGAGGGCGAUCUGGCUGCGACAUCUGUCACCCCAUUGAUCGCCAGGGUUGAUUCGGCUGAUCUGGCUGGCUAGGCGGGUGUCCCCUUCCUCCCUCACCGCUCCAUGUGCGUCCCUCCCGAAGCUGCGCGCUCGGUGGAAGAGGACGACGUCCCAGGUAUAGAAGGAGUGUACCGAGGUCUCCAGUCUUCGGUCCCGGGUAUACGAUAGCUGCGCUCCCCUGCUAGAACCUCCAAACAAGCUCAAGUACAAAUCUACCUUUCAAUAUUUAUCAAUUUUACUGGACUCAAGCAGUCACGCUACCCCUGACCCAAUGCAUGGUAUU
rnacentral:snRNA from 1 species